rnacentral:rRNA from 1 species
AUUGAACGCUGGCGGCAGGCUUAACACAUGCAAGUCGAGCGGAGAUGAGGUGCUUGCACCUUAUCUUAGCGGCGGACGGGUGAGUAAUGCUUAGGAAUCUGCCUAUUAGUGGGGGACAACAUUCCGAAAGGAAUGCUAAUACCGCAUACGUCCUACGGGAGAAAGCAGGGGAUCUUCGGACCUUGCGCUAAUAGAUGAGCCUAAGUCGGAUUAGCUAGUUGGUGGGGUAAAGGCCUACCAAGGCGACGAUCUGUAGCGGGUCUGAGAGGAUGAUCCGCCACACUGGGACUGGGACACGGCCCAGACUCCUACGGGAGGCAGCAGUGGGGAAUAUUGGACAAUGGGGGGAACCCUGAUCCAGCCAUGCCGCGUGUGUGAAGAAGGCCUUAUGGUUGUAAAGCACUUUAAGCGAGGAGGAGGCUACUGAGACUAAUACUCUUGGAUAGUGGACGCUACUCGCAGAAUAAGCACCGGCUAACUCUGUGCCAGCCGCCGCGGUAAGAC